rnacentral:lncRNA from 1 species
AUAAAAGAUGAAAUUUCAUUGAAACUCAAAUAGAGGUACAAUCUUGAAACAAAAUAUCAUUGAAACUCAAUUGCAUCCCAGCUAAGAGAGCCAUCGCCUGGAUUUGCUCAGGACACCCAGCCUUCCUAACUGGCCGCACACAAGCUGCAAUGAAGGUUCCCCGCUCAUCCCGUACCACCACUCCCAGACCUCCAUUACGAUCCUCAGCUUUCCAAGCACCAACACGUUAAUCUUAACAAAGCCAUCUCUUGGAACUACCCAUCUUUUUGGAGCCAAGCGUGGGACAUUGGAGACCAAGUCAUCCCUUAUUUGCUGAUAUUCAGCCAGCCAAGCCUUUGCUUGCAUCACCACCGCAUUUGGGUCCACACCACCACCAUCCCAAAUACGUGUUGCCUUUGAAUGCCAACCUCUUCCACAACAAGAAUUCUAUUAACAAUUUUCUAGUAACUAAUCUAAACAGAAGCUGCGCCCUUUGGGGGCUUGUGUCGAACAGAUGGUGGGCAAUUUUUG